rnacentral:rRNA from 1 species
GCUGGCGGCGUGCCUAAUACAUGCAAGUAGAACGCUGAAGAGAGGAGCUUGCUCUUCUUGGAUGAGUUGCGAACGGGUGAGUAACGCGUAGGUAACCUGCCUUGUAGCGGGGGAUAACUAUUGGAAACGAUAGCUAAUACCGCAUAACAAUGGAUGACACAUGUCAUUUAUUUGAAAGGGGCAAAUGCUCCACUACAAGAUGGACCUGCGUUGUAUUAGCUAGUAGGUGAGGUAACGGCUCACCUAGGCGACGAUACAUAGCCGACCUGAGAGGGUGAUCGGCCACACUGGGACUGAGACACGGCCCAGACUCCUACGGGAGGCAGCAGUAGGGAAUCUUCGGCAAUGGGGGCAACCCUGACCGAGCAACGCCGCGUGAGUGAAGAAGGUUUUCGGAUCGUAAAGCUCUGUUGUAAGUCAAGAACGAGUGUGAGAGUGGAAAGUUCACACUGUGACGGUAGCUUACCAGAAAGGGACGGCUAACUACGUGCCAGCAGCCGCGGUAAUACGUAGGUCCCGAGCGUUGUCCGGAUUUAUUGGGCGUAAAGCGAGCGCAGGCGGUUUGAUAAGUCUGAAGUUAAAGGCUGUGGCUCAACCAUAGUUCGCUUUGGAAACUGUCAAACUUGAGUGCAGAAGGGGAGAGUGGAAUUCCAUGUGUAGCGGUGAAAUGCGUAGAUAUAUGGAGGAACACCGGUGGCGAAAGCGGCUCUCUGGUCUGUAACUGACGCUGAGGCUCGAAAGCGUGGGGAGCGAACAGGAUUAGAUACCCUGGUAGUCCACGCCGUAAACGAUGAGUGCUAGGUGUUGGAUCCUUUCCGGGAUUCAGUGCCGCAGCUAACGCAUUAAGCACUCCGCCUGGGGAGUACGACCGCAAGGUUGAAACUCAAAGGAAUUGACGGGGGCCCGCACAAGCGGUGGAGCAUGUGGUUUAAUUCGAAGCAACGCGAAGAACCUUACCAGGUCUUGACAUCCCGAUGCUAUUUCUAGAGAUAGAAAGUUACUUCGGUACAUCGGUGACAGGUGGUGCAUGGUUGUCGUCAGCUCGUGUCGUGAGAUGUUGGGUUAAGUCCCGCAACGAGCGCAACCCCUAUUGUUAGUUGCCAUCAUUCAGUUGGGCACUCUAGCGAGACUGCCGGUAAUAAACCGGAGGAAGGUGGGGAUGACGUCAAAUCAUCAUGCCCCUUAUGACCUGGGCUACACACGUGCUACAAUGGUUGGUACAACGAGUUGCGAGUCGGUGACGGCAAGCUAAUCUCUUAAAGCCAAUCUCAGUUCGGAUUGUAGGCUGCAACUCGCCUACAUGAAGUCGGAAUCGCUAGUAAUCGCGGAUCAGCACGCCGCGGUGAAUACGUUCCCGGGCCUUGUACACACCGCCCGUCACACCACGAGAGUUUGUAACACCCGAAGUCGGUGAGGUAACCUUUUGGAGCCAGCCGCCUAAGGUGGGAUAGAAG